UACAGAGGUCUCAAGCGUUUGUUCGGAUUCAUUGGGCGUAAAGGGUGCGUAGGCGGCGCGGUAAGUCGGGUGUGAAAUCUUGGAGCUUAACUCCGAAACUGCAUUCGAUACUGCCGUGCUUGAGGACUGGAGAGGAGACUGGAAUUUACGGUGUAGCGGUGAAAUGCGUAGAUAUCGUAAGGAAGACCAGUGGCGAAGGCGGGUCUCUGGACAGUUCCUGACGCUGAGGCGCGAAAGCUAGGGGGAGCAAACGGG
rnacentral:rRNA from 1 species